rnacentral:rRNA from 1 species
GAUGAACGCUGGCGGCGUGCCUAAUACAUGCAAGUCGAGCGAACAGACGAGGAGCUUGCUCCUCUGACGUUAGCGGCGGACGGGUGAGUAACACGUGGAUAACCUACCUAUAAGACUGGGAUAACUUCGAGAAACCGGAGCUAAUACCGGAUAAUAUAUUGAACCGCAUGGUUCAAUAGUGAAAGACGGUUUUGCUGUCACUUAUAGAUGGAUCCGCGCCGCAUUAGCUAGUUGGUAAGGUAACGGCUUACCAAGGCAACGAUGCGUAGCCGACCUGAGAGAGUGAUCGGCCACACUGGAACUGAGACACGGUCCAGACUCCUACGGGAGGCAGCAGUAGGGAAUCUUCCGCAAUGGGCGAAAGCCUGACGGAGCAACGCCGCGUGAGUGAUGAAGGUCUUCGGAUCGUAAAACUCUGUUAUUAGGGAAGAACAAAUGUGUAAGUAACUAUGCACGUCUUGACGGUACCUAAUCAGAAAGCCACGGCUAACUACGUG